CUACGGGUGGCUCCAGUGAGGAAUAUUGCACAAUGGGGGGAACCCUGAUGCAGCAACGCCGCGUGGAGGAUGACGCAUUUCGGUGUGUAAACUCCUUUUAUAUGUCAAGAAAAUGACGGUAGCAUAUGAAUAAGCACCGGCUAACUCCGUGCCAGCAGGCCGCGGUAAUACGGAGGGUGCAAGCGUUACUUGGAAUCACUGGGCGUAAAGGACGCGUAGGCGGGUUGGAAAGUCAGGUGUGAAAUCCUACAGCUUAACUGUAGAACUGCACUUGAAACUUCUAAUCUAGAGUAUGGGAGGGGGAGAUGGAAUUAGUGGUGUAGGGGUAAUAUCCGUAGAUAUCACUAGGAAUACCUAAAGCGAAGGCGAUCUCCUGGAACAUUACUGACGCUAAGGCGUGAAAGCGUGGGGAGCAAACAGGAUUAGAUACCCGCGUAGUC
rnacentral:rRNA from 1 species